GGGGUGUGAAUGGUGGACGGAGAGUAGUGUAAGUGGUGCUCUACUGGAUUGGUUCCUUUACUUAAAAGUUGACGGAGUGUCAACUAUUACGUGAUCAAGCUCCUGAUGAUGAAAUGGGAAGUUGGCUCCUGAGAGCCAUCCGUAUCCUUAUGCUUUGGAAUGAUUAUUGCUUAUUGGAUUAUUGUUGAUUUUGAAAAACUUUUACACUCGCUCAUUUUGAGAUUUCUAUUUGACGUGUUAUUGCUCACGUUUAUGAACUCUUCAUGCUCGUUACUUUGCUAUAUCGAAAACUUGUACUUAUAAAUAAGGGUCAAUUUGUUAUUUGGAACCUCACUGGGCUUUUAGCUCAUACCACGCUAUUUGUUUUCCUUACAGGGGGACGAGUGACGCGUGAGACUUGUAAAAGACUAGCGUAGCCUUUUGUUUUGACUUUUGACUUUUUGGUCUUGUACUCGCGCUAUUCCUCGAAUGGAACAUGUUGUACUUGGAUUGUAUACGUUUUGAACUAGUUUGGUGUAUUGAGACUUUGUACCUUGAUUUGUAUCAAUGUAAAUUAUAAGCUUGAACUGUAGAUGUUAUUUACGGUUCCUAGAUGUAUGUGCGUGAUUUGCGUGAGCUUGUGAAUGAGUCCU
rnacentral:lncRNA from 1 species